rnacentral:lncRNA from 1 species
CAGAAAUACAGUAAUCAAUCCAGGCAGUUAUUUCUUCAGAUCCUCAGGUUUUAAUAAAGAUGACCCACUGGAACUAGAAUUCAGGUAGCGGUACACUGAAGCAAGCCUAACGGGACAUUCUCCUUCUCCUUGGGACAUUCCAUCAAAAAAAGGUCACAGACCACUUAACUCUAAAUCUCACAACUAGUUCUGAAGAGCAUGGAGCCUACAUAGAAUUCUAAGGUAAAGGAUUAAUUUCGAAACAAGGCAUACUGGAU